GUUGUAGCUUAGUGGUUAAAUCAUCUGCCUUGCAUGCAGAAGGUCCCAGGUUCAAUCACCGCCAUCUCCA